AACGAACGCUGGCGGCAUGCCUAACACAUGCAAGUCGAACGAGACCUUCGGGUCUAGUGGCGCACGGGUGCGUAACGCGUGGGAACCUGCCCUUAGGUUCGGAAUAACUCCCCGAAAGGGGUGCUAAUACCGGAUAAUGUCUUCGGACCAAAGAUUUAUCGCCUUUGGAUGGGCCAGCGUUGGAUUAGCUAGUUGGUAGGGUAAAAGCCUACCAAGGCGACGAUCCAUAGCUGGUCUGAGAGGAUGAUCAGCCACACUGGGACUGAGACACGGCCCAGACUCCUACGGGAGGCAGCAGUGGGGAAUAUUGGACAAUGGGCGAAGGCCUGAUCCAGCAAUGCCGCGUGAGUGAUGAAGGCCGUAGGGUUGUAAAGCUCUUUUACCCGGGAUGAUAAUGACAGUACCGGGAGAAUAAGCUCCGGCUAACUCCGUG
rnacentral:rRNA from 1 species